rnacentral:rRNA from 1 species
UACGUAGGGUGCGAGCGUUUGUCCGGAAUUAUUGGGCGUAAAGGGCUCGUAGGCGGUUUGUCGCGUCGGGAGUGAAAACCUUGGGCUUAACUCAGGGCUUGCUUUCGAUACGGGCAGACUAGAGUUCGGUAGGGGAGACUGGAAUUCCUGGUGUAGCGGUGAAAUGCGUAGAUAUCAGGAGGAAUACCGAUGGCGAAGGCAGGUCUCUGGGCUAUAACUGACGCUCAUGCACGAAAGCGUGGGGAGCAAACAGG